UACGAAGGGUGCAAGCGUUACUCGGAAUUACUGGGCGUAAAGCGUGCGUAGGUGGUUUGUUAAGUCUGUUGUGAAAGCCCCGGGCUCAACCUGGGAAUGGCAAUGGAUACUGGCAAGCUAGAGUGCGGUAGAGGGUAGUGGAAUUCCCGGUGUAGCGGUGAAAUGCGUAGAGAUCGGGAGGAACACCAGUGGCGAAGGCGGCUACCUGGACCAGCACUGACACUGAGGCACGAAAGCGUGGGGAGCAAACAGGA
rnacentral:rRNA from 1 species